UAUAUAUAUAUAUAAUUAUUAUAUUUAUAGAGGUAAGAAACAUGUAAGAAAUAAUUAAUAUAUAAUGUAUAUAUAUUUCUUUUGUUGCACGUUUUUAUAUCCAUUAUAUUAUAUAUAUGGUUUAUUAAAUAUUUUUGUUAUUUUUAUACUUUAUUUUUGAGGAAUACAUAUGUAUUCUUAUUAAGUACAAAAUUGUACUUAUGUAAAAUUUAAUUUUUAUGUUAUUACAUAUAUGUGUUUUUAAUUUUUUUAUUUUUUUUGUAGAUAAAUGUAUAUAUAUAUAUAUAUAUAUAUGUGGGCAUAAAAUUUAUAUAUAUUAUUAUGAUAUAUGACGCUAUCAGUUUUUGGUGCAUAUAUCUUAGCAUGGCCAUCCUUUAAAAGUAUUUUGUAUUAGAAAACAUGUAUGAAAAUAUAAAAAUUUUGAAAAAAAAAAUACAAUUUUAAAAUAAACAAACAUGAUUGGUACUGUGGAACGUCUCAUGAAAAAAGAGAAGAAAUAUCACGAAUAAAUUCAAUUAGUGUUUUUCGAUGAAGUAUUAUAAUAUAUAAGAAAAAAAAAAAAAAUAUAUAUGUUCAAAUUUUAUUUUCUUUUUUAAUUUUUUAAUAUUUAUAAUGAAUUCACUCUUUUGUUCAUAAAAUUUCCCUUUUUCAUUAAAAAUUUCUGUUCUUUUGGAUUGUUCGAUAAGAAAGAAAAUGUUUAUGAAAUAAAUAAAUCAACAUAAUAAUAUAUUAUAUUGCAGAAUAAAUUAUAUAAAAGUUGAGUAUGGAGAGAUAUAUAGUAUAUUCCAAAUAUAUGUAUAGUCAAAGGUUUUUAUCCAUAAAAAAUAAAACAUAUUUGUUUUAUUUAAUAAAUCAACGUUUUUUAUACAUCUAAAUGUUAAACAUAUAAUGGAUAUUCCAUUUAAUAAUAAUCCCCUUCCCUCUUUUAUUCUGCGUAAUAAAUGUAACAAAGAAGUCUUGAUGAUUACUAAUAAUUGUAUAGAAAAAAUAUUUAUGAAUAUAUAUAUAUAUAUAUAUUUGUUUAUGUGUGUAAAAUGAGGCGUUUGUAUAAUAAUUUUUUUUGUAUAAACAUUUUUACCAUAUAAAUAUAUAUAUAUAUAUUUAUAUAUAUAUUUUUUGUCUUUAUAGUAAUUAAAUGUAUUACACAAUUAUAUAAUAUUUAGUUAUAAAUUAUAUAUUGUGUAUACAUCAUAAGAUAGAGUUAUAUAUAUAUAUAUUAUGUAAGGAUAAAAGUGGAGGAAAUGUUAUUACGUGUGUAUAUAAUAAAUAUUGUGUGUAAUACAUGAUAAUUAAGGUAUGUGUAGCCCCUUAUGUUUAAAAGCCUUGUAAAGGUUUAACGCGCCUUUAAAGGUGGGGAAGUAAAUAUAUUUUAAUUGUUCGGUUUAAUUUUACUGUUCAAGAGGAUGAAUAUAUAAAGAUCUUUUGUUUCUCAAGAAAUAUUAGGUUGAGCUAUCUCUGAAUAGAUAUCAUAGUAGUAGAUGUGUAACUAUAAUUUAUUUUGUAGGUCACAUUUAUUAUUAUGAUAUUUAUAUGUGAAAGGUCGUAUGUGCUUGUUUAGGAUGGAGGGUGAAACAACUGUACCCCGUAGGUUUGAAAUCCUUGUAAAGGUUUCACGCGCCUUUAAAGGUGGGGAAGUAAAUAUAUUUUAAUUGUUCGGUUUAAUUUUACUGUUCAAGAGGAUGAAUAUAUAAAAAUCUUUUGUUUCGUGAGAAAUAUUAGGUUGAGCUUAUCUCUUAUUAAUUAUCAUAUGAUAAAUAUAAACUAUUUUCUUUUAUGAACUAGUUUAUAUUUAGUAUGUGAUAAUUAUUAUGAAAAUGGUCGUAUGUUUGGUUAAAAUCCUUUGAAGUGUGUGACGAGCCUUUAAAGGUAGAGGUGUAAAUAACAUAUUUUGAUCUUUUCCUGUGUUGAUCAUAAUUUCCUCAUUAUAUUUCUUAAGAAUAUUUUGUAGGUUACUUCUUAAUUAAUCAAUAUAUAAAUGUAUAUAUAUGAUGUAGUUAUAUGUUUAUAGCAUGUGGUAUAUAUACUAUUAUAGAGGUGAUUGAAAAAGUACGUUAUACUUAGAGGGGAUCUAGGUAAAAAAAUAGAAACGGAUAUAAUUAUUUUAAUAAUUAUUGAAAUCCUUAUACAGGCUUGGACGUGCCUAUAAAGGUGGGGUGCAUACAUAUAUUUAUAUAAAGGAUAUAAAUAUAUCUAGUUUGUUAAAUAAAAUGAAUAAUAUAAAAUUUGUUUUUUUUUUAUUUAAUAAAUCUAGGAUGUACUUUAAGGUUGAAUUAUGAUCUUUACAAUAAUACAUAUAUAUAUGUAUUAUAAUGUGGUGUAAACUUAUCAUUAUGAUAUUUUAUGUAUAUUGUUAUUAUAGGGUGAUUUCCUAUCAUAUAUAAAGAACAUAUAUCAACUGUAUAAGAUAUAACGUUCUCCCUUUGACUAUAAAAAGCCUCGAGGGUAUAACGCGCCAAGAGGGGUGGAGGAUAACUAAAUUUGAGUUUUUAUUAUGAAGGAAAACAAACGUUUCUCAUAUAAAAGCACACACAUAUAUAUGUAUAUAGAUAGUGGUCUUUUUAUCAAAUUGUUAUGUUAUUCUUCGAGUCGUUUGCGAAUAUAAAUAGUUUAUUUGUAUUUUUUCUUUUUUUUUUUUUUUUUAAAUACGAAUAUUGAAGACAUUAAAAUGUAUUAUAUUUUUAGUACAUUUUUAUGUGAAAUUGCAAUUAGUAGUAUUGAGGAAAAAGAAAAAAAAAAAAGAAGGGAAAUCCAAAUAAAAUAUAUAUUAGUAGUAUUCAACAGGAAGUCGGUAUGUUCAAUAAAUAAAUUCUUUUUGAGGUUUA
rnacentral:sRNA from 1 species